rnacentral:rRNA from 1 species
GACGAACGCUGGCGGCGUGCCUAAUACAUGCAAGUCGAACGAAGCUGUUUUAACUGGUGCUUGCACCGACUUAAACAACUGAGUGGCGAACGGGUGAGUAACACGUGGGUAACCUGCCCCAAAGCGGGGGAUAACAUUUGGAAACAGAUGCUAAUACCGCAUAACCACAGAAACCACAUGGUUUCUGUGUCAAAGAUGGUUUCGGCUAUCACUUUGGGUUGGACCCGCGGCGUAUUAGCUAGUUGGUAAGGUAAUGGCUUACCAAGGCAAUGAUACGUAGCCGAACUGAGAGGUUGAUCGGCCACAUUGGGACUGAGACACGGCCCAAACUCCUACGGGAGGCAGCAGUAGGGAAUCUUCCACAAUGGACGAAAGUCUGAUGGAGCAACGCCGCGUGAGUGAAGAAGGUUUUCGGAUCGUAAAACUCUGUUGUCAGAGAAGAACGUGUGCGAGAGUAACUGCUCGUGCAGUGACGGUAUCUGGCCAGAAAGCCACGGCUGACUACGUGCCAGCCGCCGCGGUAA